AGAGUUUGAUCCUGGCUCAGAUUGAACGCUGGCGGCAUGCCUAACACAUGCAAGUCGAACGGAAACGAUGCUAGCUUGCUAGCAGGCGUCGAGUGGCGGACGGGUGAGUAAUGUAUAGGGAUCUGCCUAGUAGUGGGGGACAACACGUGGAAACGCAUGCUAAUACCGCAUACGCUCUACGGAGGAAAGUGGGGGACCUUUCGGGGCCUCAUGCUACUAGAUGAACCUAUAUUGGAUUAGCUUGUUGGUAAGGUAAUGGCUUACCAAGGCGACGAUCCAUAGCUGGUUUGAGAGAAUGAUCAGCCACACUGGGACUGAGACACGGCCCAGACUCCUACGGGAGGCAGCAGUGGGGAAUAUUGCACAAUGGAGGAAACUCUGAUGCAGCAAUGCCGCGUGUGUGAAGAAGGCCUUAGGGUUGUAAAGCACUUUCAGACGUGAGGAAAAGUAAUAAUUUAAUAAAUUAUUGCCUUGACGUUAACGUCAGAAGAAGGACCGGCUAACUCCGUGCCAGCAGCCGCGGUAAUACGGAGGGUCCAAGCGUUAAUCGGAAUUACUGGGCGUAAAGCGCGCGUAGGCGGAUAUUUAAGUCAGAUGUGAAAUCCCUGGGCUCAACCUAGGAACUGCAUUUGAUACUGGAUAUCUAGAGUAUGGUAGAGGUGAGUGGAAUUUCAGGUGUAGCGGUGAAAUGCGUAGAGAUCUGAAGGAACAUCAGUGGCGAAGGCGACUCACUGGGCCAUUACUGACGCUGAGGUGCGAAAGCGUGGGUAGCAAACAGGAUUAGAUACCCUGGUAGUCCACGCCCUAAACGAUGUCAACUAGGUGUAUGGGAGUUUAACUCCUGUGUAUCGAAGCUAACGCGAUAAGUUGACCGCCUGGGGAGUACGGUCGCAAGACUAAAACUCAAUGAAUUGACGGGGGCCCGCACAAGCGG
rnacentral:rRNA from 1 species